rnacentral:rRNA from 1 species
AAAUUGAAGAGUUUGAUCAUGGCUCAGAUUGAACGCUGGCGGCAGGCCUAACACAUGCAAGUCGAACGGUAACAGGAAGAAGCUUGCUUCUUCGCUGACGAGUGGCGGACGGGUGAGUAAUGUCUGGGAAACUGCCUGAUGGAGGGGGAUAACUACUGGAAACGGUAGCU